rnacentral:rRNA from 1 species
CACGUAGGGUGCGAGCGUUGUCCGGAAUUACUGGGCGUAAAGGGCGCGUAGGCGGCGACUCAAGUUAGAUGUGAAAGUCCUGGGCUUAACCUGGGGACUGCAUUUGAUACUGGGUUGCUUGAAUUCGGGAGAGGAUAGCGGAAUUCCCAGUGUAGAGGUGAAAUUCGUAGAUAUUGGGAAGAACACCGGUGGCGAAGGCGGCUAUCUGGACCGACAUUGACGCUGAGGCGCGAAAGCGUGGGGAGCAAACAGG